rnacentral:rRNA from 1 species
AGUCGACGGCAGCACGGGAGCUUGCUCCUGGUGGCGAGUGGCGAACGGGUGAGUAAUGCGUCGGAACGUACCGAGUAAUGGGGGAUAACGCAGCGAAAGUUGUGCUAAUACCGCAUACGCCCUGAGGGGGAAAGUGGGGGAUCGUAAGACCUCACGUUAUUCGAGCGGCCGACGUCUGAUUAGCUAGUUGGUGAGGUAAUGGCUCACCAAGGCGACGAUCAGUAGCGGGUCUGAGAGGAUGAUCCGCCACACUGGGACUGAGACACGGCCCAGACUCCUACGGGAGGCAGCAGUGGGGAAUUUUGGACAAUGGGGGCAACCCUGAUCCAGCCAUUCCGCGUGAGUGAAGAAGGCCUUCGGGUUGUAAAGCUCUUUCAGCAGGAACGAAACGGUAGAGGCUAAUACUCUCUGCUAAUGACGGUACCUGCAGAAGAAGCACCGGCUAACUACGUGCCAGCAGCCGCGGUAAUACGUAGGGUGCGAGCGUUAAUCGGAAUUACUGGGCGUAAAGCGUGCGCAGGCGGAUUGUUAAGCAAGACGUGAAAUCCCCGGGCUUAACCUGGGAAUGGCGUUUUGAACUGGCAGUCUAGAGUGUGUCAGAGGGGGGUGGAAUUCCACGUGUAGCAGUGAAAUGCGUAGAGAUGUGGAGGAACACCAAUGGCGAAGGCAGCCCCCUGGGAUAACACUGACGCUCAUGUACGAAAGCGUGGGUAGCAAACAGGAUUAGAUACCCUGGUAGUCCACGCCCUAAACGAUGUCAACUGGUUGUUGGGGGAGUGAAAUCCCUUAGUAACGAAGCUAACGCGUGAAGUUGACCGCCUGGGGAGUACGGUCGCAAGAUUAAAACUCAAAGGAAUUGACGGGGACCCCCCACAAGCGGUGGAUGAUGUGGAUUAAUUCGAUGCAACGCGAAAAACCCUUACCUACCCUUGACAUGUCCCGGAAUCCUGCAAAAGAUGCCGGAAGUGCCCCAAAAGGGAAUUGGGAACACAGGGGGCUGCCAUGGCUGUUCCUCCGCUCCUGGUCUUGAGAAUGUUGG